UGCCAGGGACGGUGGGUGGGGGUCCUCAGCUCUGGCUGCACCCGGGUGGGGGCAGCUUUUAAAACUGAUGCCGGGACCCCACCCCAAGUUAGAGCAUCAUCGGAGCAUUCUAAAAGCUCUCAGGGUGAAUUUAAUUAGCCAAGGACGGGACCACUUCCUGGGAAGUGUAAAGAUGAGUAAGACGUGGUUUCUCUUCCUCUGAGGCUUGACCAAGCUGAUUUUUUUUCUCCAAGACAGGAAAAGCGUAGUUCUCACAGUGGGGUCCCGGGAGCAGCAGCAAAGCCCCACCUGAGGACUUGUUAGAAACGCAGACUCUGGAGCUCCAUCUGAGAACUGCCACAUCAGAAGCUGCGAGGACGGAGGCGGGAUGGCAGCGUGUCUGAACACGCCCUCCGGGGGAUCCCGAGCGUGUUUGAGAACCCCUGCUCCAGCGCUCGUCUCUCAAAUUGUGACUCACUCACGACCGCAUCAGAAACAGGAGAUGCGGUGAACGUGGAGAUUCCUGAACCCCUUCUCAGUCCAAAUGACUCAGCCGUGGAGCUGGCAGAAGGAGCUGACAGUCUAUAAAUAGCUCCAGGUGAUUCUUAAGUUCAACUAACAACAGUUCAGGUUGCCAAGGAGUCAGGUCCCAAGGCGGGUCAAAGCUGGACCUGGGAAAGGCUACGAGGUCUGACCAGUGAGAUUGGAGCUCCAACCUUGUCAUCGCCUGAGCAAAGGCAGAUAGGAAAAUGCCAGGAAAGCAAGUCAGACCCCAGGCACACACCCCACAUUGUGUUCUCUGGUAAGCUGCCCCAGCUCCUUGUGAUAGCCACAGCCUCCAGAUACGAUGGGAACGCAUUCUGUGGUCACCGGGCGCCCUGGUUUCCGUAGCUGCACCUUCACUAGCAGGAGGACUCCAUACAAAGGGGGUCCCCACAGUCACAA
rnacentral:lncRNA from 1 species